ACCUCGAUUCGCACCACCUCACUCUCCACGUCAAGGUCCACGUGGCGAAGGUAGGUGAGGAGUGUCAGUGAGGACGAGGAAGGCGUGUGGUGCAGGGAUACGAAGUGAACAACGCGCUUGAGGCCCGUAUUCGGAGCUUCGAGUUGUUUUGUUGCGCACCAGGCAGCUGUGUGUGCUGUAGGCCACCCAUGUGAGGGCUGUGGCGUCAGCAUCUUCCAGUGCCUAAAGAAACGGUGGGAUAGAAAACUUAGCGACUACAGAGUCUAGUACCAGUGCGUAGUGACUGCUGGACAGGUGCUGCCUCGUGGCGUUCCCUAGAAACAGGUGGCAAAAAUGAGGAGAUCUUUGGGAGUGACUGGGAUGAGAAAACACAAGGAAGCCACCACUGGUGCAACAGCUGUUGUACCCCCCAGCACUCCAGCUGCUGCUACCACCACUGAUCCUGCCAGCAACAUCCGGUCAGCAAGUACCCGUGCAAACUUGGCCCUGUGAAUAUGGUUAGAGUAUUAUUUUUGAGAUUAUAAAUAUACAUCAGUGAUGCAAUAUAACACACACAUACAUAAAGGACUCAUUCAAACUGCAAAAUGUAAAAAUGUAAAGAAUGUUACUGUUACUGUGAAUAUAUAUACUGUAAUGAGAAAAAAAAAAAAAGGGAUCUAAUCUUUUCACAAACGAAGAAAAAAAACUACACACCGAAAUUGGGUUGUGCGUCUUGGUGGUCGGCCCGUGAGGAAAUGACACAACUUCUCAUAAACUUGCUCCCGGUUUAGAUACACAAAGUCUAAUAACUCAACUGCUGUCUCUUGGACACACUCAGCAGAGAGACGCUUUAUGUCCAACCCUUUAACCUUACUGGUGAAAGGGUCACUGCCUCCAUACCACAGUCCAGCAACAGACACUGCUGCACCAAUGUACUCCAGAACAGGGGAUACCUUACAGCACUGCAAAUUACAAGAGAUUUUGUUAACUGUGUGUGUGUGUGUGUGUGUGUGUGUGUGUGUGUGUGUGUGUGUGUAAAUCUAUCUAGCCUAGUGGUAGUACGGUUAGGUCACCACAAAUGCGGGGAUUCAUUUCUUCUGAUAGCAGAUGAUUAUGUUAAAGUUAUAAUGAAAGUACAGUAAAACCUACAUAAAGCAAACUAUAUGGGGUGAGGGUGCCAACAGUUUAUCCAAAAGUUUGAUUUAUUUGAUAAUACACAUUUUUGUCUAGUUUCUAUGUACAUAAACAUGUUGGCAUAUUAUAAAUCCUGUGAUAAAUAUUUACGGUAUAUUUUGUUACUAUACAAUGCACUAACUGGUCACUCAGAGUUCAUUUAACGUUACACAAUUACACAGUUAGUGUUCACUUAAGAGCUCACAACUGUAUACAACACACUGGUUACAUAUGAGCUAACACAACAUUAUGUACUGUACUACUAGUGUACUUUUGCUUGUCAUUCGGAGUCUGAGUCAAAGAUGUUGGCUGGUGUCAUUAGGGAUGGAGCUGGGCAAACUGGCUGAGGAGGUUGAUAAGGGGGUUGGUUUAGGGAGAUUUAUAUUGUAAUGACAAAAAAAAAAAAAAUUACUGAUUUUCACCUGUGAGAAAGGCCAAAAAAAAUCUUAAUAAAAUAUUUCCAGACUAUC